CGCGGCCUAUCAGCUUGUUGGUGGGGUAAUGGCUCACCAAGGCGACGACGGGUAGCCGGCCUGAGAGGGUGACCGGCCACACUGGGACUGAGACACGGCCCAGACUCCUACGGGAGGCAGCAGUGGGGAAUAUUGCACAAUGGGCGGAAGCCUGAUGCAGCGACGCCGCGUGAGGGAUGACGGCCUUCGGGUUGUAAACCUCUUUCAGCAGGGAAGAAGCCACAAGUGACGGUACCUGCAGAAGAAGCGCCGGCUAACUACGUGCCAGCAGCCGCGGUAAUACGUAGGGCGCAAGCGUUGUCCGGAAUUAUUGGGCGUAAAGAGCUCGUAGGCGGUUUGUCGUGUCUGCUGUGAAAGCCCGGGGCUCAACCCCGGGUCUGCAGUGGGUACGGGCAGACUAGAGUGCAGUAGGGGAGACUGGAAUUCCUGGUGUAGCGGUGAAAUGCGCAGAUAUCAGGAGGAACACCGAUGGCGAAGGCAGGUCUCUGGGCUGUUACUGACGCUGAGGAGCGAAAGCAUGGGGAGCGAACAGGAUUAGAUACCCUGGUAGUCCAUGCCGUAAACGUUGGGCACUAGGUGUGGGGGACAUUCCACGUUCUCCGCGCCGUAGCUAACGCAUUAAGUGCCCCGCCUGGGGAGUACGG
rnacentral:rRNA from 1 species